rnacentral:rRNA from 1 species
UACGAAGGGGCUAGCGUUGCUCGGAAUCACUGGGCGUAAAGGGUGCGUAGGCGGGUCUUUAAGUCAGGGUGAAAUCCUGGAGCUCAACUCCAGAACUGCCUUUGAUACUGAGAUCUUGAGUUCGGAGAGGUGAGUGGAACUGCGAGUGUAGAGGUGAAAUUCGUAGAUAUUCGCAAGAACACCAGUGGCGAAGGCGGCUCACUGGCCCGAUACUGACGCUGAGGCACGAAAGCGUGGGAGCAACAGG